rnacentral:rRNA from 1 species
CAUGCAAGUCGAGGGGCAGCGGAGAGGUAGCAAUACCUUUGCCGGCGACCGGCGCACGGGUGAGUAACACGUAUGCAAUCCACCUGUAACAGGGGGAUAACCCGGAGAAAUCCGGACUAAUACCCCAUAAUAUGGGCGCUCCGCAUGGAGAGCCCAUUAAAGAGAGCAAUUUUGGUUACAGACGAGCAUGCGCUCCAUUAGCCAGUUGGCGGGGUAACGGCCCACCAAGGCGACGAUGGAUAGGGGUUCUGAGAGGAAGGUCCCCCACAUUGGAACUGAGACACGGUCCAAACUCCUACGGGAGGCAGCAGUGAGGAAUAUUGGUCAAUGGUCGGCAGACUGAACCAGCCAAGUCGCGUGAGGGAAGACGGCCCUACGGGUUGUAAACCUCUUUUGUCGGAGAGUAAAGUACGCUACGCGUAGCGUAUUGCAAGUAUCCGAAGAAAAAGCAUCGGCUAACUCCGUGCCAGCAGCCGCGGUAAUACGGAGGAUGCGAGCGUUAUCCGGAUUUAUUGGGUUUAAAGGGUGCGUAGGCGGCACGCCAAGUCAGCGGUGAAAUUUCCGGGCUCAACCCGGAGUGUGCCGUUGAAACUGGCGAGCUAGAGUGCACAAGAGGCAGGCGGAAUGCGUGGUGUAGCGGUGAAAUGCAUAGAUAUCACGCAGAACCCCGAUUGCGAAGGCAGCCUGCUAGGGUGCGACAGACGCUGAGGCACGAAAGCGUGGGUAUCGAACAGGAUUAGAUACCCUGGUAGUCCACGCAGUAAACGAUGAAUACUAACUGUUUGCGAUACAAUGUAAGCGGUACAGCGAAAGCGUUAAGUAUUCCACCUGGGGAGUACGCCGGCAACGGUGAAACUCAAAGGAAUUGACGGGGGCCCGCACAAGCGGAGGAACAUGUGGUUUAAUU